AGGCACCCCGAUAAAUGAGUGCCGGACAAGCAAAUAAUAAUCAGCAAAUCCUGCCAGAUUUGAAGCCUCAGUAGUAUUCCUCCUCUCGUUCCACAUGGACCCAGACUGGGCCGGGUUUCAGCAGCUAAGUAUGUCCUUUGAAUGUUGACUCCUAUUUGAAGAUAACCUUGAACGUCCGACUGUGGAUUCCUUCAAGAACUAGAAGCUGGGCUUUCCGGCCACCCGCCAGGGCACAAAACAAGCUUC